rnacentral:rRNA from 1 species
UACGUGAGGUGGCAAGCGUUUGUCCGGAAUUAUUGGGCGUAAAGCGCGCGCAGGCGGUUCUUUUAAGUCUGAUGUGAAAGCCCACGGCUCAACCGUGGAGGGUCAUUGGAAACUGGAGAACUUGAGUACAGAAGAGGAAAGCGGAAUUCCACGUGUAGCGGUGAAAUGCGUAGAGAUGUGGAGGAACACCAGUGGCGAAGGCGGCUUUCUGGUCUGUAACUGACGCUGAGGCGCGAAAGCGUGGGGAGCAAACAGG